CCAAAGGCAAGUGACCACUCAGACACCACAUCCCAAAGGCAAAUGACAAUGUUAAAAAAAAAAAAAAAGCCAACAAUGCACUUUAAAUUACAUGUUACAUUACAACUUGUUAUAGAUGUACGUACAGAAAUGUUUCAAAUCAGGCUAACUUAAAAUACAAUAUUUGAUGGGACCUUAAUUCUCACACUGCUGGAGGAAAUAGUUUGUAACCAAAUGUGUUAAAAAAAAAUUUUGCUUGGGGGAAAUUUAACACGAGAUAUUUUAACACAAAAUUGACUAAUGCACUAAAUAACUUAAAUUUCAAACAUUAGCUACUAGUUAUAAAAAGUUAAAGUAAAUUCUAGAUGAAGUAAGGAAUUCACUUAUAAUUUUCAUGACAUGUACAUGAUUCUAACCUUUUAAUUGUAAGGUCUGACCAAAGAUUUAAAAAAAAAAGUUUUGCAACGUUUAUUUAAUGAAGGCUUGAUGGUAAAAAAAAAAUUUCCUAAAAGUAAUUUUGACCAUUUUUGUUUCUUGAAAGGUGAACAAAAGCAAUUCAGUGUUCCUAAAACUAGCCAAAACUAAAACAUUGCAGGUCCCAAACUGGGCCUAUUCUAUUUGUGACUAGUUCAAACAGUAUUAAAUUGAUUCCCAGUAAACAUUUUCAACACUUAUGAUUAGAAAACAGAAUGUCCUACUGAAAAACAUAUUUACCUACAAGAGUAACUCAGCAGAUGAAUUGAAACCUAAAAGAACUAGUGGUGGAUGGGAGAUCUCUGGUAAGACAAUGAACUGCUCCUCACCUCAUUAUUGGCUACAUAAUCAAAGUCAAAGGCAUUUAUUAUUAUUAUUAGGUUUUUAAUUAUUAGUAAAAUAAUAUGUUGAUCCUGUGACUAUGUGACAAAAAGACAACAAAUUGUGACUUGUCAUGUAGACAUCUCAUCAGUAUCUUAGCAUUUUGUGCACAAAAAGAUUUCAUUUUUUUUUUCCUACCAUGAAAAUAUUUCAAGUUUGGAUCAAGAUGUGUUUGAAAUGAAGAUUUCCCAUAGUUCAUUGGGAGAGGGGGGGGGGGGGGGG